UACGUAGGGGGCAAGCGUUGUCCGGAUUUAUUGGGCGUAAAGAGCGUGUAGGCGGCCAGGUAGGUCAGCUGUGAAAACUCGAGGCUUAACCUCGAGACGCCGGCUGAAACCCUCUGGCUAGAGUCCGGAAGAGGAGAGUGGAAUUCCCGGUGUAGCGGUGAAAUGCGCAGAUAUCGGGAAGAACACCAGUGGCGAAGGCGGCUCUCUGGGACGGUACUGACGCUAAGGCGCGAAAGCGUGGGGAGCGAACAGG
rnacentral:rRNA from 1 species